GAUGAACGCUGGCGGCGUGCCUAAUACAUGUGAGUCGAGCGAACAGAUAAGGAGCUUGCUCCUUUGACGUUAGCGGCGGACGGGUGAGUAACACGUGGGUAACCUACCUAUAAGACUGGGAUAACUUCGGGAAACCGGAGCUAAUACCGGAUAACAUUUGGAACCGCAUGGUUCUAAAGUGAAAGAUGGUUUUGCUAUCACUUAUAGAUGGACCCGCGCCGUAUUAGCUAGUUGGUAAGGUAACGGCUUACCAAGGCGACGAUACGUAGCCGACCUGAGAGGGUGAUCGGCCACACUGGAACUGAGACACGGUCCAGACUCCUACGGGAGGCAGCAGUAGGGAAUCUUCCGCAAUGGGCGAAAGCCUGACGGAGCAACGCCGCGUGAGUGAUGAAGGGUUUCGGCUCGUAAAACUCUGUUAUUAGGGAAGAACAAAUGUGUAAGUAACUGUGCACGUCCUGACGGUACCUAAUCAGAAAGCCACGGCUAACUACGUG
rnacentral:rRNA from 1 species